CGUAACAAGGUUUCCGUAGGUGAACCUGCGGAAGGAUCAUUACCUAGAGUUGUAGGCUUUGCCUGCUAUCUCUUACCCAUGUCUUUUGAGUACCUUCGUUUCCUCGGCGGGUCCGCCCGCCGAUUGGACAAUCUAAACCAUUUGCAGUUGCAAUCAGCGUCUGAAAAAACUUAAUAGUUACAACUUUCAACAACGGAUCUCUUGGUUCUGGCAUCGAUGAAGAACGCAGCGAAAUGCGAUAAGUAGUGUGAAUUGCAGAAUUCAGUGAAUCAUCGAAUCUUUGAACGCACAUUGCGCCCCUUGGUAUUCCAUGGGGCAUGCCUGUUCGAGCGUCAUUUGUACCUUCAAGCUCUGCUUGGUGUUGGGUGUUUGUCUCGCCUCUGCGCGCAGACUCGCCUCAAAACAAUUGGCAGCCGGCGUAUUGAUUUCGGAGCGCAGUACAUCUCGCGCUUUGCACUCAUAACGACGACGUCCAAAAGUACAUUUUUACACUCUUGACCUCGGAUCAGGUAGGGAUACCCGCUGAACUUAAGCAUAUCA
rnacentral:rRNA from 1 species